CAUCCCUAAGUAAGGCAAGACUUAACGCC
rnacentral:piRNA from 1 species